CCAAUAGCGUAUAUUAAAGUUGUUGCAGUUAAAAAGCUCGUAGUUGAAUUUCGGGAUUUAUCCGUCGGUCGGGCUUUUGGGUCUGUACUGGCGUGAUGGAUUUCUACCUUCUGAAUAACCGGCAUGUCAUUAAUUUGGUGCGCCGGGGAAGCAGGACUGUUACCUUGAAAAAAUUAGAGUGCUUAAAGCAGGCUAUUGCCUGAAUACAUUAGCAUGGAAUAAUGAAAUAGGACGGCAUGGUUCUAUUUUGUUGGUUUCUAGGAUCACCGUAAUGAUUAAUAGGGAUAGUUGGGGGCAUUAGUAUUCAAUUGUCAGAGGUGAAAUUCUUGGAUUUAUUGAAGACUAACUUCUGCGAAAGCAUUUGCCAAGGAUGUUUUCAUUAAUCAAGAACGAAAGUUAGGGGAUCGAAGACGAUCAGAUACCGUCGUAGUCUUAACCAUAAACUAUGCCGACUAGGGAUCGGACGAUGUUAAUUUUUUAAUGACUCGUUCGGCGCCUUACG
rnacentral:rRNA from 1 species